rnacentral:rRNA from 1 species
UACAGAGGUGGCAAGCGUUGUUCGGAAUUACUGGGCGUAAAGGGCGCGUAGGCGGCCUUGUAAGUCCCGUGUGAAAUCCCUCGGCUCAACUGAGGAACUGCACGGGAAACUGCUUGGCUUGAGUUCGGGAGAGGGAAGCGGAAUUCCGGGUGUAGCGGUGAAAUGCGUAGAUAUCCGGAGGAACACCGGUGGCGAAGGCGGCUUCCUGGACCGGCAUUGACGCUGAGGCGCGAAAGCCAGGGGAGCAAACGGG